rnacentral:rRNA from 1 species
CAGUCGCCGCGGUAAAACGAAGGGGGCUAGCGUUGCUCGGAAUGACUGGGCGUAAAGGGCGCGUAGGCGGAUUGUUUAGUUAGGCGUGAAAUUCCUGGGCUUAACCUGGGGACUGCGCUUAAUACAGGCAGUCUAGAGUGAGGAAGAGGGUUGUGGAAUUCCCAGUGUAGAGGUGAAAUUCGUAGAUAUUGGGAAGAACACCGGUGGCGAAGGCGGCGACCUGGUCCUUGACUGACGCUGAGGCGCGAAAGCGUGGGGAGCAAACAGGAUUAGAUACCCCCGUAGUCCCUGUCUCUUAUCC